GGGUUUGUGGCUUAGUGGUAGAGCACUUGCCUAGCAUGUGUGAGGCACUGGGUUCGAUUCUCAGCACCA
rfam:Ictidomys tridecemlineatus contig097012, whole genome shotgun sequence.